rnacentral:tRNA from 2 species
GCUGUUGUAGCUCAGUGGUAGAGCACCCCCUUGGUAAGGGGGAGGUCGGCGGUUCAAUCCCACUCAACAGCACCA